rnacentral:lncRNA from 1 species
GCACUACUUUCUAUGUCAACACAAUUCUAUACCCAAAGUUCAGCUGGCUCUCAGUAUAAAUUAAGCCGAUGACAAUUUCAUGAAGCAAGCUUACGUUAUUAGCUCUAAGCUUGAGUCGAAAGAUCAAAAGGUACUGAUUUCGGAAUUUCGUUUUCGUUAUACCUUGAUGCUUAUUUACGAACUCAUUCUAUCAAAACCUUUCUAUUGUUUCAUAUUUUAUCGAUUUUGUGUUUCGUACAUUUAACGCGGGUUUCCAUUUUUUGAAACAGUUGAAGAAACAAAACUGGUACAUCGCACUCCUUCUUGCUUAAAAAAAAAAAACACAUUGCUCUCCAUCUCCUUCAUGCUUAACGAUAAAGAGAAAUUAACAAUUUUAACUAUUAAAAAAAUUUAAAAUAUUUAUCAUAUACAGAAAAUUUGUUCUUGAUAAAACAAUUUUAAAAAAUUAAUAUACACAUAAGUUAAUAAUAUAAAAAGAAAGAACUAUUUUAUAAAAAGUUAUUUGAUUAUAUAAAAAGAAAUUUGGCAAUAUGCCGAUGUCGUAAUUAAUAUAAGCUCUCGAUAUACCUACAU